rfam:Aspergillus versicolor CBS 583.65 unplaced genomic scaffold ASPVEscaffold_8, whole genome shotgun sequence.
GGCAAGAUGGCCGAGCGGUUAAGGCGCAGCACUCGAAAUGCUGUCUCUUCGGAGGCCAGAGUUCGAAUCUCUGUCUUGUCG